rnacentral:rRNA from 1 species
AUUGAACGCUGGCGGCAUGCCUUACACAUGCAAGUCGAACGGCAGCAUGAUCUAGCUUGCUAGAUUGAUGGCGAGUGGCGAACGGGUGAGUAAUACAUCGGAACGUGCCCUGUAGUGGGGGAUAACUAGUCGAAAGAUUAGCUAAUACCGCAUACGACCUGAGGGUGAAAGUGGGGGACCGCAAGGCCUCAUGCUAUAGGAGCGGCCGAUGUCUGAUUAGCUAGUUGGUGAGGUAAAGGCUCACAAAGGCGACGAUCAGUAGCUGGUCUGAGAGGGCGAUCAGCCACACUGGGACUGAGACACGGCCCAGACUCCUACGGGAGGCAGCAGUGGGGAAUUUUGGACAAUGGGGGCAACCCUGAUCCAGCAAUGCCGCGUGUGUGAAGAAGGCCUUCGGGUUGUAAAGCACUUUUGUCCGGAAAGAAAUCGCACUUACUAAUAUUAGGUGUGGAUGACGGUACCGGAAGAAUAAGGACCGGCUAACUACGUGCCAGCCGCCGCAGUAACAC